GAUAUGUCAAACAAUGCCGAACAAAACCAACUCCAUAUAUGGUUAAAUAGAUGGUAUGAGGGAAAAGGGAACUAGCUGGUAUUCCAGAUUGGCUAUAUGGAUAAUCAGGGCAGCUUGCUAUUGGAUAAGUAUGUUGAAGAAAGAAUGUAUAAAAGUAUGUGUAACUACUUGCUCUGGUGUGUAGGAUUUGAGAUUGUUGUCUCCCUGUACCACUUGAAGCUUCAAAUAAACUUUUCUAUUCUCCACCCUGUUGUGAUUAUUGGGCGACGCACACCGGGCAACGAACCCUGCUGUUGCUUGCCUCGGGCACUCUGUGCCGGCAACAGUUUUUGGCACCCAACAUGGGGCUCGAGGCUUCUACACAAGCCUUGCCCGAAUCCCUUGCGGAGACCAGUGGGUGAGAACCCCGAUCGACGCCUAGUGCACACUGGUGCGAUUACCGGGGCCUCGGAAGGGCAUAGCCCAAUCAGCCCCAUAGGGCACAACGGUGCAACACGCCUGAUAAAUGGAGAAGUGCCGCGGGCGACGGUGGGGAACCGGUUCUUCGGAUAAGGUAUACUAAAGAUUCCCAGCCUCUCCCCUUGGACUCUCCUGUCCACUCCUUACAGCCCGGCGACUCCGUGCUUGUUCGUACCUGGAAAGAUGAGCAUCUCCAGGAAAAGUGGAAAGGACCCUACACCGUCCUGCAGAUCUCCCAUACGGCGGCAAAGGUCGAGGGACACAAAAACUGGAUCCAUCAGUCUCAUCUGAAAGCAGUACCCACGCCCUCGUCAGCAGAGCAGUGGACUGUCCAAACCGUUGACUCCUCAUCUAGUGAUGAUCUCGGGCUAAAGCUAUUGUUUAAGAGACACAAACAGCGGGCACCUUAACGCCAAAAUGGGCCCACCCAGGAACUGGAAACCCUGGGCCGGAAAGACUCCGGUAAUGAUUAGUUGGGUAAUACUGUUAUUCUCUGUACUGUUAUUUCCAAAUUGUGCAUAUCGGGAGCAUAACUCCUUUGUUUUACUUGCUCACCAUCUUGCUACUUUAACAAACCAGACUGAUUGCUGGGUGUGUGCUCUGACUCCACUGUCCCCCAAAACAGGAAUGCCCCUUGUCAUGCUGCCCUUAACCCUAGCAGAAUUAGCCGCCACCAAAGAGCAGAAAGACUUGCCGUUCUGAAACAAGACCUCUUUGCAGCAAGCCACCGACCAGGACCAGGAGUAUUCAAUUGCAGUGCUCAAUGAAGGAGUAUUUUGUUUUACCCGAAACCAAUCUGAUCACUAUGGGCGUCCUGUGGGAAAGAGCUCCUGUGUUAUUACACAGUGGGUCGAUGGGUAUUGGAUAAAGACCAAGAGGGGAGGUCAGCAGUGUGGGUGUAAUGGUUCCUCCCCUUUUGGGGAAACUCUUACGAAUAAUCUUACCACAAAAGGAGGGUCAGGAAAUAUAAAUUGCCGUUCAGUUAAUAUCUCCAAUAUAGCAGGCCAAUGGUGGGUUUGCAGCAGUCCCUAUGGCGAGUGCAAUUUGAAUGGCACAACUAGAAACACCCCCGCUUGUAACCAAUCAGGAGGAUGGGAAGCCCCCCUAGGGGCAUAUGAACUGUUUGGAAGAGCAGCCUUAAAUAUCCAAGGAACUCCCCCUAAGAGACAGUCCUUACUGGGCCCUACAGGGUCACUAUUUCGUAUGUGGCCGAAAGGCUUACAAAGUGCUGCCAGCCAAUUGGACAGCUAGCUGUUAUAUAGCUCAUGGAGUUCCUCAUCUUUCGAUAACUACCACACUGCCCAAAGGAAAGAUUAACAAUGCCCGAGAUACCUCUGUUGAGUCACGAGAAGAGACCCUGCGGCGACUCAAUGCGGCAUUGGAGGGCAAUGUUAAGAAUCCCCUCACAACUGAAAACCUUGUAGGGUGCUCUAUACUGGGAAUAGCGCCACUGUUUACUGGGCCGGCCAUGGCAUGCAUAGGCCGCUAUACUGUAAGGCUUCAAAUGGUACUUGAGAAAAUCGCCUUAGCGUUAGAGGACUCGAUUAGUGAUUUAGGGUCGGCAGUAAAAAUAUUAAAUAAAGAGGUACAGCAGCUCAGGACGUAUUCCCUCCAAAAUAGGCUGGCUUUGGACUACCUCUUGGCAUCCCAAGGGGGGGUUUGUGCCCUCGUCAGAUCCCGAUGUUGUGUAUAUGUAAAUGAUAGCAAUUAUGAGAUCUAU